rnacentral:sRNA from 1 species
UAUUCUGCCCCAUGGGGAAGGAUGAGAAGCUUCGACUAAGGUUCGACUCGAGCGCCAGCGAGAGAACGUUGCCACAG